CGCCAGCUUACGGACCAGGUUGCCAAGAGUUUUCCACAACCUGUGGAAAAUUUCGGUGAGCUCUUGGUCAGUCGGUGGGCAGCUCUCAAGAUUGAAGGACGGGUUCCUUAGUGGAGAUGGAUGUCGCGAUUGUGUUGGUGUGGGAUUUGUGAACACUCCCUGGAAAACCGAUAAUAUCGAAACCGAAAACAGUCGUUCGAGGCGAGCGGACGUCCAUAUCACAGCAGAGCUCACAUAACGAAAAUUUCCAUCCUAACCUUCAAGUUCAAAACUCCCAUUAAAAUUAUUAUUUAUUAAUUCAGUGAUGGCGCAGUGCUAUUAUUGCAACAGUUCUCUGCCAGCAUCCGGUGACGUCGUUACUUGUUUUGGGUGUAAUAAUAAAUUUCAUUUUGGGUGCAGUCUCAAAGAAACUACAUAUCGUCGUAUGUCGGAGGACGAGCAAAAGAAGUGGCGUUGUUUCCAUGUGUGCAAAAACUCGAAAGGGGCAACAGGGAUCGCAACUCCAGUUAAAUUCAAUUAUGAUCUAGACUGAUUCAGCAGUGGAACAAAUAAGCUGUGAUAAGAUUUAUAUUGAAUAUACUAUGGAAUGGUAAACUUAUAAUAAUAUUGUAUUGACUCUAAAUUACUGUAUGACGAAACUCUAUGUUU